GCGGGGGAAGAGAAACCCGGCCUGGGCGGGUGUGGCCAGCCAAGUCUCGCGGCUCUUCUCGCCCUCCGUUUCCGGCAGCCCUGGGAUGAUACCGCUAGAUGGAGGGAAACUCUCGCGAGCAAAGGAGCCCAAGCUGAGAUCUAGGAGAGGUGCCUGAAGGGAGGGCCAGAGAGCCUUUUACUUGUUCUGGAGUUGGACUGCACAAAGGCAUGAAUACGCAGAAGUCAGGAUCAGUGGAUGCCAGGCUGGAAACUAGCUACCACGUUAGGGAGAUGCAGUGAAAACCCACAAUAAGCAGUCUCUUGACUCUGGUGAGAAAAGGACUUCUCCCCAUGACCCUCUCCUCAACUGGCCAUCAGUUCCACCCCAGAAGCCUGCCUUGGUUCCUGAUCAUGUCAUCACAGUAUGAGUAAGUGUGCAACUGCUGGACUUAGAGCCUAAGACUUGAGGCUUUGAUCUGACACUUGAACUUAGCAUGCAGAGGGACUGUCUAUCAUGAGCCUGUUAUGAUUAAGUGUGUUUGCAGUGCUUAGAAUUGUUAUAGAAUUGUUUGCUGUGAACUGAUUAUGUCUAUUGAGUGCCUAGUAUUAAGGAUUGUCACUUUCUUGAUUAAGAACCUAUAGAGUGAAAUUGUAUUAAGUAAUUUGAGUAAAGAA